rnacentral:lncRNA from 10 species
UUUUUAUUUUAAUUACAUAUCUUUCAACUCCAGAACUUCUAUUUGUCUUUUUUGUAAAAUUCCUAUUUUUCAAUAUCAUCUUAGAGUAAUGUUACUGUCACAUUUGGGUAUCCCAGUAGUUAGUAGGACAACAGUGAUUAUAAGGCCUUCAUUAAGGGUCUCUUUCCCUAAUACACAGCUGCUAUGUUCUAACUGAUGACCAAUUCUGACCAAUUGUGCCGUUGUUUUCACUGAUGCGAUGGGGCAUGCCCAUCACAGGUUAAUCAAAUUUAGAGUCCUUUAAAGCACGGGCCCCCAACCAUUACCAGUCUGUGGCUAGUUAAGAUCUGGGCCACAUAGCAGAAAGUGAGUGGCUGGUGAGGGAGCUUAUUGCCUGAGUUCCGCCUCCUAUCAGAUCAGCAGCAUUAGAUUCAAAUAAGAGAGUGAACCCUACUGUGAACCAUGCAUGCAAAGGACCUAGGUUGUGCACUCUUUAGGAGAGUCUAAUGCUUGAUGAUCUGAGGUGGAACAGUUUCAAGCCGAAACCAUCCCCCACUGUCCGAGGAAAAACUGUCUUCCACGAAACUGGUCCUUGGUGCGGAAAAUGUUGGGAAACUGCUGCUUUAAAGGGACAGUUGCUGAGGAUGUAAUGAAGUUAUUCCGAGAGUUAGCACCUCUGUAUGCUCAGGAUCUCUGUCCAGUGAAUCCCUUGCCAUUCUAAUGAUUCCCAAGAUUGAGGGUUAAGCAGUGUCUUCCUUCCCAAGGCUUCUGCUGGAUGAGCAUUUGGAUUUGCUAAUUAUGAAUAAAACUGCUGUGAACAUGCUGGUAUAUAUCUUUGAAUGAGCAAAUGCAACUAUUUCCAUUAGUAUUUUCCCAUUAGUGUGAUUGUUGGAUCAUAGAAUAUGAUGUAUAAAAUACUAUGUUAAGAGACAGUGUCAAAUGGUUUUUCACAUAAGUUAAAUUGUAUGUCUACCACCAUUAAGUGAGAAUUAAAACUGUUCUAUUUCAUCAUCAAUAUUUGGUAUCAUUAGUCUUUUUAAUUGCCUUAUGAGUGGGAAUGUAGUGAUAUGUCAGUGGAAUUUUAUUUUAUAUUUCCCUAAUGACUACUUAUGUUGUUAAAUUUUCUACAAUUUUUCAGCCAUUUGGAUAUCAACUUUUGUGAUGUACCUAUUCACGUAUUUUCUUCAGUUUUUAUUACAUUAUCAAUCAUUUUCUAAUGACUUAUAGGAAUUCUUUAUAUGUUCUAGAUAUGAGUCAAUUGCUGAACCAUUCAUUGCAACUAUCUUUUCCCAAAUCAUGGUUGCAUUUUCAUUAUUUUAAUGUUGUCUUUUGUUGAACAGAAGUUCUCAGUUUUAUUGAAGUUUAUUUUGUCUUUUUUCCUCAUUUUAUGUUUAGGGAUUUUGUAGUCUGCAUAAGAAAUCCUUACCUACAUCAAGGUCAUGAAGAUAAUAAUUCUAUAUGUUUGGUUCUUGAAGAUUUAUUGUUCUAUCUUUCACAUUUAUGUCUGUGGUCAAUAUAAAAUUAAAUUUUAUGUGUACUGUGUAACUCAGCAUCAUUUAUUAAAAGACUAUAUUUCCCCAAAGAAUUAUAGUAGUACUUUUGUCACAAAUCAAGUGAUUUUGUGUAUUGGUUCCAUCUCUGUACUUUUAAAAAUUAUAUUCAAUUGGACCAUUUUUCUAUCCUUACUCCAACGUUUAUAAUAAUUUAAUUAUUUUAAUUUUAUAAUAUUAUCUGAUUAUAUAAUAGCUUAAAUUCCCCAGCAUUGAUUUCUUCUUUAUGAAUACCUUGGCUAUUCUAGGUCCUUUAUAUUUUCAUACAAAAUUUAGAAUUAGCACCUCAAUUCCCACAAAAAUAAAAUACUGAUAUGUUGACUGGAACUUUAAAAAAAUCUAUUGGCCAAUUAAGAGGACUGCAUAUAUUAACAUUGAGUCUUACAAAUUAUUAUCAUGGCACAACCCUUCUAAAUUUAUAUCUUUAUUAUUUUCACUAUUUUAUAGUUUUUAGUGGAAAGGUCUUGAACAUACUUCGCUAGAUUUAUUAAUAGUUACAUGGUAAUAUCUUAAAUGGUAUUUAUGUUUAAUUUUCUAUUUGUUUAUUGUGAUUACAUAAAACUCAAUUUUUAUCUUAUGAUGGCUUAUGCCAAAUAUAUAUUUUAAUUUUUCUAUGUGUACAUUUAUGAGUGUUUUCAAAAUACAAUAUUCAUGUCAUUUUUCCCUUUGUCAUGUCAUGGUGACUGGAAUAUCUAAGAAAAUGGUAAGUUGAACUGAUGAAAGUAUAUAUGCUUCUCUUGUCCUUAACCUCACUGUGAAAGUGAAAAGCUCUUUUUAAUCUCUAAUUUACUGAGAAUUUUCAUCAUGAAGAGUAUUAAUUUUUAAUCAAUGUUUUUUCUGCAACUAUACAAGUGGUUACAUAUUUUUUCUCCUUUACUCUUAUUAGAUUAUUUUAAAUUAUUUUAUGUACUUUACCUCAACUUUCAAAAUUAUCAGAAUAAAAUUGUUAAUAAUAUCUCCAUUGUAUAUUUUGAUGUUUACAUAUUUG